UAAUUACUCCCUCAGUCUGAAAAAGCUUGUUCCAAGCUUGUCUUUCAAAUGGAUGUAUCUAGCACUAAAUUGAUGUUAGAUACAUCCAUUUGAGGGACAAGGUUUUUUAGACGGAGGAAGUAUAUA
rfam:Triticum aestivum genome assembly, contig: Triticum_aestivum_CS42_TGACv1_scaffold_527409_6DL